UGAGGUUGCUAGUUUUGACAAUGCGUCUGUCCUAGCAUUUUCCACUUUGGGGACCUCUUGAACAUCAAAGCUCAAAAAGGACAAGUUUAAAUCCUUUAUCUUUUGAAGAUACCUCUUCAUGUUUUCCUCUCAAGCUCUCAAGCCUCAUAUCCACCCUUGAUUUGUCUAACCACUAAUUAGGAGACACUGAAAACCUUUAGAUGUCGAGCCCCUACCUCUCUUACAACUUUUAUGCCAGUAAUCAGAGCUUCAUACUCUGCUUCAUCAUUGGUGGUUGAAAAAUCGAACAUAGUAUUUACCCCAC
rnacentral:lncRNA from 1 species